rnacentral:rRNA from 1 species
GAACUUAGCAGAGAUGCUUUGGUGCCUUCGGGGAACUCUGAGACAGGUGCUGCAUGGCUGUCGUCAGCUCGUGUUGUGAAAUGUUGGGUUAAGUCCCGCAACGAGCGCAACCCUUAUCCUUUGUUGCCAGCGGCUCGGCCGGGAACUCAAAGGAGACUGCCGGUGAUAAACCGGAGGAAGGUGGGGAUGACGUCAAGUCAUCAUGGCCCUUACGGCCAGGGCUACACACGUGCUACAAUGGCGCAUACAAAGAGAAGCGACCUCGCGAGAGCAAGCGGACCUCAUAAAGUGCGUCGUAGUCCGGAUUGGAGUCUGCAACUCGACUCCAUGAAGUCGGAAUCGCUAGUAAUCGUAGAUCAGAAUGCUACGGUGAAUACGUUCCCGGGCCUUGUACACACCGCCCGUCACACCAUGGGAGUGGGUUGCAAAAGAAGUAGGUAGCUUAACCUUCGGGAGGGCGCUUACCACUUUGUGAUUCAUGACUGGGGUGAAGUCGUAACAAGGUAGGCGUAGCGAG